rnacentral:sRNA from 1 species
GCCAGGUGUGGUGGCACACAUCUGUAAUUCCAGCUGCUUGGGAGGCUGAGACAGGAGGAUCAUGAAUUCAAAGCCAGCCUCAGCAAUUUAGCCAGGGUCUAAGGAACUCAACGAGACCCUGUCUCUA